rnacentral:lncRNA from 1 species
CUCAUGUAUUUUAUUUGCUCCUCCAUUCUUAAGUACUUGUUUAUCUCUAGAUGUUAUAAUGAUUUUACUUCCUUCACCAAAAUGCUGAACUCCCAAAUCAUUCAUUAGGUCUGAGUCAUUAACAUCAUCAAGGACAACAAUUACUUUUUUGUUGUUCAACCUCUCUUGGAUAAAGCCUUGUCCAAUUGAAGGGGUGCGUAUAUGAAUUUCUUGCUUUAAUAGUUCUGUAAGAAAAUCAUCUCGUAAAGAUUCCAUUCCUUGUUUCUCGAUUUUCUCACUAACGUUAUGAAGAAAGCAACUAUCUUCGAACUUUUGAGAGACUUCUUUGUAUACAACAUCAGCAAGGGUAGUUUUGCCUAUACCACCCAUUCCCCAAAGUCCUAUUAUGCGAGUGUCUUCUUGCUCAAUUAGCCCCAAAAUCAUUUUUUUCUGAUCAUCUAUUCCAACCAAUUCUUCAGAAGCAUUUCUAAAAUAGUUAUUCAUUAACUUUUUUAUAACAUAUUCAACAAUAUCCUUGAUGUACUCGGUUUCAGGUCUAGCAAAUAAUAAAAAUUAUAUAUGAGAGCUAAAACAAAUCUAAGUGAAAUAAAAUUAGAAGAUGAGAAAAAUAGAGUUACCUGUCGAAUUUGCCUCCUAUUAUGUGCCAACCUUUUAAUUUACCGACUUCAACAAAAGCAGCUUUCCAUCGCUUCACUUCAUCAAUUGGCCUCUUUAAUUCAUGGUCUUCAAAGGAUGUCUUAAAACUCCCACCAAUAUUUCGCACAUUGGAAGGAUCAACAUGGUAAAAGAUGGGAAGAACAAUAUGUCCUUGAGUGUCCUUGCGGUCCAUGAUGUCAGAAACUUCUACCAAGCAUGAUUUUGAUGAAGCAUAAUCUACGGACAAAACGAUGAUUGAGAGAUUUGAAGCUGCAAUUGCUUGAGAAAGUGCUGAUGAAAGUUGCUCCCCCUUUUCUAGUUUUUCUUCAUCGAAGAAGACAUUCAGUCCCGUGUCUUUCAAAGCUUUGAGUAGAUGAGCCGUGAAGUUAAGACGCGUGUCUUCACCUCUAAAGCUCAAGAAAACUUGAUGCUUCAGUUGACGAGAAGAGUAAGAAGAAACAAUUGUUUGAGGAAGUGCUUGAGAAAGUUGAUCCGCGUCUUCUAGAUCUUGUUCAUGGAAGAAGAUAUUCAUUAUUGUGUGUUUCAAAGUUUGGAGUAAAUGAGUGAUGAAGUUAAGGCAUGUGUCUCUUUGAGGAGAAGAAGAGGAAGAAGAAGCAGCCAUGAAAGAGUUUGGAUUGUGUGAUCGAUGCAAAGACAGCAAAUUAUACCAAGGGAGCUUCAAAACAUGGUAUUCUUUUAUCAAAAUAUGGAUUUUGUUAGAAUAAAUGAAAGGCGACGACUUCAGUUUUGUCAUUAUCUCUGAGUCAAGAUUGGUGUCGCGCGGUAUCUCUCUUGUGAGGAUACAGGAGAUUCUACCUUCCUUUCUUUCUUUCUUUCUUUCUUUCUUUCUUUUUUUCCUUUAUCUCUUUUCAUCAAUCAUUAAUCAAUGUCCUUGUGGACCCUAAAAACUCACAAGUGGGAGAAAAUAAAUAUUUAGAUUACAAAGAGGAAGCAAUUUGAAUAAAAUUAAUUAAGAGGUCUUUUUCGUUGAAUUUUUAAACAUCUCCUAUCAAAAUUUGGUUUGAAUAAGUUUCUAUUAAAAUUAUUAUUACUUAUGUGAGCUCGGUCAUAUCAUAUUUGGAUUCGGCUAAAAAGACUCACAAGUGGGUCAAGCAUGGGCUAUUUCAAGUUAAUUGGGCUCAACAAUAUGAAAAACCCAAAGUUAAAAUGAAAUCCAUCAUUCAAGUUCCUUAUUUGAUAUUUACAUAUUAGUGCUCUUAUGUGCCAAUAUUUAGCUUUGUUCACAGCUUUGUGUUUUCAUUUAUAAUUAUGUCGUGUGUCAUAGUGCUCAACUAUGUUGUAUUACUUUGUGUUUAUGUGUUUGUCAUGUGAUUACAUGUCUUUACAUUCGUUUCCCAAUUAUCAUUUCUUUUUUUCAAAUAUUUCGUGUGUUUAGUUACAUAUUGUCGAGUUUAGUUUUUUUAUGCAUUAUUUUCUUUGGACUUUGUGUGAAUUGUUUUGAAACUGUGCUUAUGGGAUCUAUUUAUAUUGUUUUGUAGGUACUUUGUUGACCGUACAUUUUUCAUUAAGCCCUUUCAUCUCAAGAUCUGAAUUCGAGAAUUAAGCAACGUAAGACUUAAAAUUCAAGCAUUUAAUGGACAAAUUUAAUGAAGGGGUUCUAAAAGAUUCACAUCCAUGCAUCUAAAGUGAUGUUUCGGUACACCGAAAGUCUGAAAACAAGUUUUUUUUUUUUUUUCCAAGCCAGAAAACUUCGCGUGGAAACUUGAUAGAAAAAUUUCACACCAACUACGUACUCCCAUUUCAGACCCUAUUUUUUUAAUUAUUUUCCCUUAAAAAAUAAUGUUUCCUUUUACAAAAAUUGGUCAAAGUUUAUAAAAAAAUCCCUAUAUUUUUAUGUAAAGUUCAUUUUUGUCCCUCUACUGAAAAUUGCUCUAAAUUAAUUCUUCAGUAUUAAUUUUUAUUUUUCUAAAUCAUGACAUCUUUAUAAUUUAUUAUUAAGUAUUUUUUAAGCAAGAGAUGAUUAAAAAGUGCACUAUUUUUUUUAGGAUGGUUGAGCUUUUUUAUAUGGGUACAUCAGUUGGGCAAGAUACAUUCUAUUCAAAUUCACGACAAAUUGUAAUAAUGUCGUGAUUUUAACAAAAUUUUAAUAUACAAAGAUUAAUUUGAAACAAUUUUUAAUAAAGGACUAAAAUACAAUAAUAUAGGGACUUUUAGUUACCUACAAAAAAAUUCAUUUAAUUCAACAUAUAAUGUACCCAUUUUCUUGUCCCUAACACCUCCCUCAUUUAUAGCCCGCCUGGUUUUUUCUCUUUUCUUUCCCCCCUCACUUCUCCAUCUUCUUCCCUUUUCACAUGUCUCUUUGAUUGACCCCCUUUUUGCUCCUCUUUCAAUGUGUAAACCUUUGUAUGUUUGAUUUGUUUUCAAGAUCCAAAUAAACCCUUUUCUCUGCAUUGUUUGAACUUUGAACAACUUGCUCUUUUCCGUGUGUUUAAAUGGAUCUUGUGACCAAAAUAAACCAUAUUUUGAAUUAAUAGGGCCUUUCUGUUGUAAGUAUAAUAUAAUCUCCUAAGUCAUUGUAUAUAAUAUAAUGUCGAAAAACAAGUAUGAAGAAAAAAAAUAAAAUGUUUACUUCAAAACAUCAUUAUAAUUAUUUUAAAAGUUAAUUAAAAAUAUAAAAUGUUUGAUUCAUGAUGUUAGGUAUGGAUUUAUUUAUUCGGUAAAUGAAAAGUAAAUCAGCGACACUGGUCAUUUUAUAUGCAAUAUGACCGACAUAUGAUUUUGUUUUAACAGAUUAAAAAAAUAAAAUAUAUUUAAUUUGAUUUGAUUUAAAAUGAUAAAAUUUUAAUUUAAGUUUGACAUAUAAAAUUAGAUUCAUCCAUUCUAUUAAUGAAAAAAAUUUUUUAUACAAUGUAAGUAUAAACUCACACACAUUACAUUAUUAUAUUGGGAAACCUGUUGAUUGAACCCUAAUGUCCAAUAUACAUGAGCUUACUUCUUGAGUUUUAUUAUUAUUAUUUUUAAUUCAACUCAAUUUGAUGAAAUAUUAAUCAAUGUUAAUAUGUGGAAAUCUCGUGAUGAACUAAUAACAACACCAGUGCCCUAAACAUUUUAAAGAAUCCUGUGCAAGAACCAAGUACAUUGAUAUCAAACACCAUUUUAUUCGAGAAUUGGUUGAGAAUGGGUUUGUUGAGCUGAGGUAUGUGUCCACUCAAGGCCAGCUAGCUGAUUUCUUCACCCAAGCAUUGGAGUCCAACAGAUUCAAGAGUUUAACAAGCUUUGUUGGGGUGCGUCAACCUUGAAAGUGUUGACAAUUAUCAAAUAAGAAUUUUAAAUACUGUUCCGAAUAAAUCUUCACAAUUAUCGACAUGUAUAUCAAAUAUUGCUCUGGUUAUUUUUUCAUGCAUUUCCCUAGAAAUUUCCAUCCAUUCAAUUUGGUAAUCGAUUGGUUUGAUCGACUUUGCUAAAGUUAUCACAUAAAAGCACCCUUAAAGAUUUUUAUUAGGAAAAUCGACCCUCCCUCUUUCUAUAUUUGUAUAAAUUGAGUCUGAUCGUUAACUUAUUAUUUAGUGCAACAUUAAAAUUGACUUUGGAUGAAAUUACUAUGAUAUGUGAAAUUAUAAAUUGUCAUAAUGACAAUGGAAAUAACUAGUUAGUAGAGAAAUUUUUAGUGAACUUUUCUUAUAAUCGAAAAAAAUAAAUUAUGAUCAAGGUUGUCAACAUUGGAUGGGUGGUCGAAUUGAUCAGAUCAUUGAUUUUCGAUCUCAUCGUUUCUAUUGAUCCAAUCAAUUAUUUGGUUCAAUUGAAUAAAUUAUAAAAAAAUAUUAAAAUAAAACAAAAAAUCAAUUUAACCAUUUAGCAAAUCAAUUAGUCAAACUUUUUAUUUCGAAUCGAUUCCUUAAAUAAUUUUCUAUCUAAACGAUUUGGGUAAUCAAGAUGUCAUAUCAACAAACCUCCCAAGAAAUUGGGCGUGAAAUAGAAAGGAAGAUAGAAGCAUAAAGUAAGUAAUUAUUUAUGCUUAUCCUAAUCUAUUUAAAUAUGGUGUGUGUAUAUAUAUAUAUAUAUAUAAAGUAAGGUGAAUGAUAGCUUGUGAGCAAUCAAAUGUAAAAACGUCUCAGUAAAAUAAAUCUAGAAAAUCAAUUAAUUCUUUAAUAAAAAUUGCAUUCAAUUAAAAUUUUAUUUAAAUUCUUAAAUAUAGCUAGUUAAAAUUUCUAACUAGAUAAUAUGACAGCUCACAUGAAAAUUUAAUUGGUAAGAUACAUUACAUGCUUAAUAGACACUUAAAUUUAAAUUUUAGAGACAACAUAAUUGCAUGGAACAACCACAAAUCUUGUAUAUAAACUACAAAACCAACAUUCAAAAAAUAUACAAUUUGGGUGAGCUACAACAAACAGCAGUCACUCUAAAGCACUUUCUAAAUGACAAACAAUUUAUAAAGCAGAGCAAGCCAGAUGCCAUCCUGGUUAUAAAGCACUUCAUUUUCUGUCAUAAGCAAUUCAUAAGUUAAAAUUUCAGUGUUAACAUUUGGAAGAAAAAAUAUGGUAAUAUCACAAAGUGAAAUGAAACUCACUUAUGCAACAUAAGACACAUGAACACCACAUUUCUCCACCUUGAUAAGUUCUUCUUCGCCACUUAAGAAGUCCAACUUUUUAAUGUGGAAUUCAAAUGAUGCCUCCUGGUAACCCUUGUCAUUUUUAACCAUAGCACCACUGAACAAAAUCAAAACAUGAUCACCUGUGUACUGCACUGACUCAAAUUCCGGACUGCAAUACCACUCACUUUUGAGCUUCUCAUAAUGACCACCAGUGGGCAUCAAUUGGCAUUCACAGCUACAUAUAAGAUCUUCAUAUUUAUGAACAUGUGCGGAAUUGGCAACAAGGCAGAUGACAAAAACCAAGUAUCUUCUCCCACUACACCCAUUUGGUGAUGGUCUCAAAAUUAAUGAAGAACUCAUGCUCUGAUACUCGAACGUAUUUGCCGAAAUUUCGUUUCCCGGGAAACAACAAACAAGACUUGGUGGAUCACAAUCAGAUUCCUUUUCCCAUUUCUUUACUAGGGAUCCAAUUUUGAUCAUCGCAUUUGCCUCAAUGUUACUAAUUGAAUCUUGAUUCAAGUUGAAGCAAUUAGAGAAUAACAUGAAAAAUUCAUGACUAUCAUCUGAAGAUUCGAGUUCAUAUAGAUUUUGGUUUGUGAACGAUACUUUUUCUAAUGAUGAGCAGUCAUGUGCAAACAAGUACCUUAAAUACGGUGGAAGCUCCGAGAGAAAUUUAAGGUUGUUGCAAUGAUCUAUAUGCAAAAAUUCAAGGCUUCUAAACUUAAGGAUUGAGUUUCCUGGGAAUUCGGUUUGAGUCUCAGAUAAGUAUAAUUCUGAUGGGUUUUUUGGGAAUUCGGUGAUAGGGCAAUGACUAAGAUACAGAGAACGAAGGAAUCCCAGCUUUGAAAUAUUGCUCGAUACCUUUUUCACCCCCGACUUUCUCAAGCACAACUGUUCAAGUCUGGUGAGAUGCUCAACUGAAUCAGGCACUUCUUCGAUUCCAGUUUCAUCUAAUUCUAAAAUAGAAAAGUGAUUUGGGACCUCAGGAAACUUCUUGAGAUUAUGACAUCCCUCAAGUUCAAGCGUUUUAAGAUAUGCCAAAUGAUCGAGACAAGGGUGUUCGACCAAACUUUCGCACCCAUUGCAGCAAAGGCUUUUAAGGUUGAUGGCACUUAAUAAAUUAGGGAUCUUCCUUAAUUUCUUGCAUUGAGUAAGGUCAAUUUCCCUCAAGUUAACAAGAUUCUGCGCAAUCAAAAUAUAAAAUAGCUACAUUACUUCAUAGCAUUGUCUACUUAUUUUGGAUUGUACAAGAAGUGACAGAAAAUUUUUAAAAAAAAUUUUUUUUAAAAGCUUUUAAUAAGACUCCAUCAUAUUAUUCACUGAUACAUCAAUUAUAAAUAUAAUUUUUUUAAAAUAUUGGAUGAAGAAAUUAGGAAAGUAUACCUGAUAACUGUCUUCAUUCCAAAGAAAUUCCAUAUCCCCAUGCGGUAAUUUCAACACAACAAGAUUGAUUGGAUUAAAACUUGAUAGAGAUUUGAAGGGAUAAUAAUCCCAAAAAAGAUACCUUAACUCGUCAGGAAGAGAUACACUAUCAUCUUGGUCGGCAAGAAGCUUCUUUUCCGAACUCUUCUUCCAAAAUCUCCCAGAAAAGUAGAAGAGAAUAACUCUAAGAUUGUACAUGUUGUCAAAAACAGUAGGACAUAACUGUAGAUUAUCAAUUUGAGACAUGUCUAACUUUAAUCCUUGAAUUAAAUCAGUCCCCUAAUAACAAAAGCCAAUUUAUGAAGUAUUAGUAAAAGACAAAUUUAUGAUCAUUCCAAUAUAUCACUCACUAAAAAAAGUAACUACAUUAAGGAAAGCUUAGACGAAUUAGGCACACCUUUUUAUUAGAGGAAAUUUAGAUAUAUAAUAGUUUUCUUUUAUUUUAUUAUACCUUAAUACAUGGGUAAAACAAUGUUUUGUGAACUACUUACAAAUAAUUAAACUUGUUAACAUGUGACAACACAUAAUUAUUUUUAUUUUUACCCUUUCGAUUAAAAUCACACAAAAAUAUGAAAAAUAUAAAGAAUGUAAAUGCAAUCAAUGCUUACUUUAUUAUAUCUGAGCACUUGAUACACAUCUUUAGGAUUCCAUAAUCUACUGUGCUUCCAAAGUUCUUUAGCCUCUUGACGAACAAUGUCCUUCCCCAUCUCUUCAAGCAUGUCGUGCAUUGAAAUACAUUCACAGUACUCUAUGCUAAAAAAUGGACUAGCAGUUAUGAUAUCAAUUAAGCACUUAUCAAGCAAGUUGCUUAUUCCAGACACUGCACCUCUAUAACAGCGACUUAGAAUUUCUUCUGCAUCUUCCUUUGAUUCGUUUUUAAAGAAGCAUGCUAUGUCAAGAAAUACAUUCUUCUCUAGUUCAUCUAACCCAUCAAAGCUUCUCUUCAAAAUCUGUGAAAUUUUUGGCUGGGCAUAUUCCUUUAAUUUGUCCACCUCACUUUCCCAAUCUCUUUUAGACUUUGUAUACAAUCUAGAACCCAAAACUUUAAGAGCAAGUGGACUCCCUUGGGCGUACUGUACAAACUUGUACGAUAGAUUUAGAAAAUCAAUGGCAGGAUUCAACUGUCUAAAUGCAAAUAUAGAAAAAAGUUGAAGAGAGUCGUUCUCGUUUAAUUUCACUACCUCAUGUAUUUUAUUUGCUCCUCCAUUCUUAAGUACUUGUUUAUCUCUAGAUGUUAUAAUGAUUUUACUUCCUUCACCAAAAUGCUGAACUCCCAAAUCAUUCAUUAGGUCUGAGUCAUUAACAUCAUCAAGGACAACAAUUACUUUUUUGUUGUUCAACCUCUCUUGGAUAAAGCCUUGUCCAAUUGAAGGGGUGCGUAUACGAAUUUCUUGCUUUAAUAGUUCUGUAAGAAAAUCAUCUCGUAA